GUUGUUCUGGUCUUUCGAGGCAAGUGAACACUUCUCUCAAUCCAUCUUACACCUGUGCACUUAUCGGGGUUGACUUUGGAUCUAAGUUGGAUAACGACGGCAAUCCUAUAGUCUUCCUCUUCAUACCAAAUAACAAGUCUUAGAAAGUCAUUUUUUGCUUGAUGCAAACUUAAUACAACUUUCAGCAACGGAUCUCUUGGCUCUCGCAUCGAUGAAGAACGCAGCGAAAUGCGGUAAGUAAUGUGAAUUGCAGAAUUCAGUGAAUCAUCGAAUCUUUGAACGCACCUUGCACUCCUUGGUAUUCCGAGGAGUAUGCCUGUUUGAGUGUCAUGAAAUCAUCAACCUCAUAGUUUUAUUACUUUUGAGGCUUGGAUUUGGAAGCUGCUGGCUAAUGUCGGCUCUUCUUAAAUAUAUUAGCUGCUUGUCCGUGAGUUGGCUCAGGGUGUGAUAAGUAUCUACACUUGGCGGCUGCUCGCAUUGGAUGUGGCUUCUAAUCGUCUUUUCGGACAAAUUUUUAAGAUCUGACCUCAAAUCAGGUAGGACUACCCGCUGAACUUAAGCAUAUCAAUAAGCGGAGGA
rnacentral:rRNA from 1 species